GAUGAACGCUGGCGGCGUGCCUAAUACAUGCAAGUCGAGCGAACAGAUGAGGAUCUUGCUCCUCUGAGGUUAGCGACGGACGGGUGAGUAACACGUGGAUAACCUACAUAUAAGACUGGGAUAACUUCGGGAAACCGGAGCUAAUACCGGAUAAAAUAUUGAACCGCAUGGUUCAAUAGUGAAAGACGGGUUUGCUGUCAAUUAUACAUCGAUCCGCGCCGCAGUAGAUAGUUGGUAAGGUAACGGCUUACCAAGGCAACGAUACGUAGCCGACCUGAGAGAGUGAUCGGCGACAGUGGAACUGAGACACGGCCCAGACUCGUACGGGGGGCAGCAGUAGGGAAUCUUCGGCAAUGGGCGAAAGCCUGACGGAGCAACGCCGCGUGGGUGAUGAAGGUAUUCGGAUCGUAAAACACUGUGAUUAGGGAACAACAAAUGUGUAAGUAACUAUGCACGUCUUGACGGUACCUAAUCAGAAAGCCACGGCUAACUACGUG
rnacentral:rRNA from 1 species